GCCUUUGUGGCGGAAUUGGUAGACGCGCUGGUCUCAAACACCAGUGAGAAAUCGUGUCGGUUCGAGUCCGACCGGAGGUA
rnacentral:tRNA from 1 species